CCUACGGGUGGCAGCAGUGGGGAAUAUUGGACAAUGGGCGAAAGCCUGAUCCAGCCAUGCCGCGUGUGUGAAGAAGGCCUUCGGGUUGUAAAGCACUUUCAGUGGGGAAGAAAGCCUUGGGGCUAAUACCCUCGAGGAAGGACAUCACCCACAGAAGAAGCACCGGCUAACUCCGUGCCAGCAGCCGCGGUAAUACGGAGGGUGCGAGCGUUAAUCGGAAUUACUGGGCGUAAAGCGCGCGUAGGCGGUCUGAUAAGCCGGUUGUGAAAGCCCCGGGCUCAACCUGGGAACGGCAUCCGGAACUGUCAGGCUAGAGUGCAGGAGAGGAAAGUAGAAUUCCCGGUGUAGCGGUGAAAUGCGUAGAGAUCGGGAGGAAUACCAGUGGCGAAGGCGGCCUUCUGGACUGACACUGACGCUGAGGUGCGAAAGCGUGGGUAGCAAACAGGAUUAGAUACCCCAGUAGUC
rnacentral:rRNA from 1 species